rnacentral:snRNA from 1 species
UAAGUCACCCAGCAAGGAAAUACCGUGAUCACAAAGGUGAUUUUCCCAGGGUGAGGUGUAUCCAUUGCACUCGGAUAUGCUCACCCCUGUGUUCCCCAAAUAUGGGAAACUCAGCUGCAUAAUUUGCGGUAGUGGAGGACUGUGUUUGAGCUCUUUU